CCCGGGAGCUUGCUCCACCGAAAGAAAAAGAGUGGCGAACGGGUGAGUAACACGUGGGUAACCUGCCCAUCAGAAGGGGAUAACACUUGGAAACAGGUGCUAAUACCGUAUAACACUAUUUUCCGCAUGGAAGAAAGUUGAAAGGCGCUUUUGCGUCACUGAUGGAUGGACCCGCGGUGCAUUAGCUAGUUGGUGAGGUAACGGCUCACCAAGGCAACGAUGCAUAGCCGACCUGAGAGGGUGAUCGGCCACACUGGGACUGAGACACGGCCCAGACUCCUACGGGAGGCAGCAGUAGGGAAUCUUCGGCAAUGGACGAAAGUCUGACCGAGCAACGCCGCGUGAGUGAAGAAGGUUUUCGGAUCGUAAAACUCUGUUGUUAGAGAAGAACAAGGAUGAGAGUAAAAUGUUCAUCCCUUGACGGUAUCUAACCAGAAAGCCACGGCUAACUACGUGCCAGCAGCCGCGGUAAUACGUAGGUGGCAAGCGUUGUCCGGAUUUAUUGGGCGUAAAGCGAGCGCAGGCGGUUUCUUAAGUCUGAUGUGAAAGCCCCCGGCUCAACCGGGGAGGGUCAUUGGAAACUGGGAGACUUGAGUGCAGAAGAGGAGAGUGGAAUUCCAUGUGUAGCGGUGAAAUGCGUAGAUAUAUGGAGGAACACCAGUGGCGAAGGCGGCUCUCUGGUCUGUAACUGACGCUGAGGCUCGAAAGCGUGGGGAGCGAACAGGAUUAGAUACCCUGGUAGUCCACGCCGUAAACGAUGAGUGCUAAGUGUUGGAGGGUUUCCGCCCUUCAGUGCUGCAGCAAACGCAUUAAGCACUCCGCCUGGGGAGUACGACCGC
rnacentral:rRNA from 1 species